GGGGGCAUGGUCUAGGGGUAUGAUUUCUCUUUCGCACUGGCAUCCAGAUGCAACUAGAGAAGGUCCGGGAUUCGAAUUCCCGUGCCUCCA